rnacentral:rRNA from 1 species
UGGGGAAUUUUGGACAAUGGGCGCAAGCCUGAUCCAGCAAUGCCGCGUGCAGGAAGAAGGCCUUCGGGUUGUAAACUGCUUUUGUCAGGGAAGAAAUCUUCUAGGCUAAUACCCCGGGAGGAUGACGGUACCUGAAGAAUAAGCACCGGCUAACUACGUGCCAGCAGCCGCGGUAAUACGUAGGGUGCGAGCGUUAAUCGGAAUUACUGGGCGUAAAGCGUGCGCAGGCGGUUAUGUAAGACAGAUGUGAAAUCCCCGGGCUCAACCUGGGAACUGCAUUUGUGACUGCAUGACUGGAGUGCGGCAGAGGGGGAUGGAAUUCCGCGUGUAGCAGUGAAAUGCGUAGAUAUGCGGAGGAACACCGAUGGCGAAGGCAAUCCCCUGGGCCUGCACUGACGCUCAUGCACGAAAAGCGUGGGGAGCAAACAGGAUUAGAUACCCUGGUAGUCCACGCCCUAAACGAUGUCAACUGGUUGUUGGACGGCUUGCUGUUCAGUAACGAAGCUAACGCGUGAAGUUG